rnacentral:tRNA from 1 species
GUUGUAGCUCAGUGGUAGAGCACUUGCCUAGCAUGUGUGAGGCACUGGGUUCAAUUCUCAGCACCACA